rnacentral:rRNA from 1 species
UACAGAGGGUGCAAGCGUUAAUCGGAAUUACUGGGCGUAAAGCGUGCGUAGACGGUUGCGUAAGUCAGAUGUGAAAGCCCCGGGCUCAACCUGGGAAUUGCAUUUGAGACUGCGUAGCUAGGGUGCGGAAGAGGGAAGCGGAAUUUCCGGUGUAGCGGUGAAAUGACGUAGAUAUCGGAAGGAACACCAGUGGCGAAAAGCGGCUUCCUGGUCCAGCACCGACGUCAGGCACGAAAGCGUGGGGAGCAAACAGG